AUUGAACGCUGGCGGAAUGCUUUACACAUGCAAGUCGAACGGUAGAGGGGGCAACCCCUUGAGAGUGGCGAACGGGUGAGUAAUAUAUCGGAACGUGCCCAGUCGUGGGGAUAACGUAGCGAAAGUUACGCUAAUACCGCAUACGAUCUAAGGAUGAAAGCGGGGGACUCGCAAGAGCCUCGCGCGAUUGGAGCGGCCGAUAUCAGAUUAGGUAGUUGGUGGGGUAAAGGCUCACCAAGCCAACGAUCUGUAGCUGGUCUGAGAGGACGACCAGCCACACUGGAACUGAGACACGGUCCAGACUCCUACGGGAGGCAGCAGUGGGGGAAUUUUGGUACAAUGGACGCAAGUCUGAUCCAGCCAUUCCGCGUGCAGGAUGAAGGCCCUCGGGUUGUAAACUGCUUUUGUACGGAACGAAAGGUUACUAUUAAUACUAGGAGCUCAUGACGGUACCGUAAGAAUAAGCACCGGCUAACUACGUAGCCAGCAGCCGCG
rnacentral:rRNA from 1 species